AUUGAACGCUGGCGGCAGGCCUAACACAUGCCAGUCGAGCGGAUAAAGGAAGCUUGCUCCUGGCUUCAGCGGCGGACGGGUGAGUAAUGCCUAGGAAUCUGCCUGGCAGUGGGGGAUAACGUCCGGUAACGGGCGCUAAUACCGCAUACGUUCUGAGGGUGAAAGUGGGGGUUCUUCGGACCUCACGCUAUCAGAUGAGCCUAGUUCGGAUUAGCUAGUUGGUGGGGUAAAGGCCUACCAAGGCGACGAUCCGUAACUGGUCUGAGAGGAUGAUCAGUCACACUGGAACUGAGACACGGUCCAGACUCCUACGGGAGGCAGCAGUGGGGAAUAUUCGGCAAUGGGCGAAAGCCUGACGCAGCAACGCUGCGUGUGUGAAGAAGGUCUUCGGAUCGUAAAACACUGUAAGUAGGGAGGAAGAAAAGUAAGUGAAAAUCUGCAUGUCUUGACGUUACCAACAGAAUAAGCAACGGCUAACUACGUG
rnacentral:rRNA from 1 species